AGCCCAUACCUGUUUAUCCAGUACGUCAGAUCAACCAACAUGAGCCCAUGUUCAGCACAGGAAUGCUGUUAUGUGUGUCUGUUUACGUGAUGAUAUGAAGAAGUCAUAAGAGAAAAGCAGGAUGGCUGUAGGAUGGUGUUUACUCUGCUCCUGUUGUCUGUCAUUGUGAAACAAAGUAUUUCAAACUCAAACACCAAUUUAAAGAUGUGAAGAAAGAAGAGGGAGUAAAAGAAGGAAUAAAAGAACGGAAGACUGUACUGCAUGAAAAUCCCAGGAGGGCAGCUGUUUCUGUGAUGCUGGAACCACCACAUCUGGCACCAUCCAUCUGGCACAGUCAAAGUCGCUUA